UGGGACGCAAGGAAACACACUGUGCUUGCACACCGUGUUUUCUUGAGUCGCGAACGGGUGAGUAACGCGUAGGUAACCUGCCUAUUAGCGGGGGAUAACUAUUGGAAACGAUAGCUAAUACCGCAUAAUAUUAAUUAUUGCAUGAUAAUUAAUUGAAAGAUGCAAGCGCAUCACUAGUAGAUGGGCCUGCGUUGUAUUAGCUAGUUGGUAAGGUAAGAGCUUACCAAGGCGACGAUACAUAGCCGACCUGAGAGGGUGAUCGGCCACACUGGGACUGAGACACGGCCCAGACUCCUACGGGAGGCAGCAGUAGGGAAUCUUUGGCAAUGGACGAAAGUCUGACCGAGCAACGCCGCGUGAGUGAAGAAGGUUUUCGGAUCGUAAAGCUCUGUUGUAAGUCAAGAACGUGUGUGAGAGUGGAAAGUUCACACAGUGACGGUAGCUUACCAGAAAGGGACGGCUAACUACGUGCCAGCAGCCGCGGUAAUACGUAGGUCCCGAGCGUUGUCCGGAUUUAUUGGGCGUAAAGGGAGCGCAGGCGGUCAGGAAAGUCUGGAGUAAAAGGCUAUGGCUCAACCAUAGUGUGCUCUGGAAACUGUCUGACUUGAGUGCAGAAGGGGAGAGUGGAAUUCCAUGUGUAGCGGUGAAAUGCGUAGAUAUAUGGAGGAACACCAGUGGCGAAAGCGGCUCUCUGGUCUGUCGCUGACGCUGAGGCUCGAAAGCGUGGGUAGCGAACAGGAUU
rnacentral:rRNA from 1 species